rnacentral:rRNA from 1 species
GAUGAACGCUGGCGGCGUGCCUAAUACAUGCCAGUCGAGCGAACAGAUGAGGAGCUUGCUCCUCUGACGUUAGCGGCGGACGGGUGAGUAACACGUGGAUAACCUACCUAUAAGACUGGGAUAACUUCGGGAAACCGGAGCUAAUACCGGAUAAUAUAUUGAACCGCAUGGUUCAAUAGUGAAAGACGGUUUUGCUGUCACUUAUAGAUGGAUCCGCGCCGCAUUAGCUAGUUGGUAAGGUAACGGCUUACCAAGGCAACGAUGCGUAGCCGACCUGAGAGGGUGAUCGGCCACACUGGAACUGAGACACGGUCCAGACUCCUACGGGAGGCAGCAGUAGGGAAUCUUCCGCAAUGGGCGAAAGCCUGACGGAGCAACGCCGCGUGAGUGAUGAAGGUCUUCGGAUCGUAAAACUCUGUUAUUAGGGAAGAACAAAUGUGUAAGUAACUAUGCACGUCUUGACGGUACCUAAUCGGAAAGCCACGGCUAACUACGUG